UAUAAGUGGGGAAUUGCAGGCAAAUGACAAUAAUUAAGGCAUUGAUCUCUGUAUGACGCCAUUUCAAGGCAAGCGAAAACCAGUUUUGGUUAGGACAUGAAGACUUUUUUUUGUUUGACACCUUUUCAGCUCUCUUUUCAGACUAUUGUGACAGUGACAUUAAAAAAUUACACAACGAGACUUUUUGAUUCAACUUACAAAGUUGCAUAAGCGUUUCGAGAGCAUUUUGGGGGCUGCCUGAAGAAUGGGAAAAUUGGAAAGAUUACUUAUUCUUACUUUGUUCUUUUUAUAAACACAUUAGUGUAUAACCUUACAGUUGUUGGUUGGAAAAUGGAAAAUGGAAAAUGAAGGACCUGAAUCCUAACAGGUAUAAGUGAAUGAAAUCCGUGGAUAUCAGAACUUAAUAGGACUCGUGAAUUUUUCAAUAUCAGUUUCCUUACUUGGUACGAUCCCCUUCACAGUUAGACCAUCAACUUGAAGCUUGAACGUUGACAUGUUCCAUCACUUGCCAUUUUUCACUUCCAAUUCAAUCAUUUGACCAACUAUGUUUAUCUAAUUGUUUGUACAUGAUGAACAGUGUAAAGUCAACAUUUUAGAUCAUCGGGAAAAUUAAGGUUGUUUAUAUUUUUAUUUUAAUUCAGGUUUCACUAUUGGCAUUUUUGACUGCUAAAACCUUUUCAGUGUUAUGCUUUGUCAGUUGGAAGUACACACAAAAUUGUUUAUGAAGAACAGCAUGUACGUAACUUUGACUGGGUUUUCUGCCAGUCAAACACAUUUCCAGUUCCACACAACGUACCGUUCCAGAGUUUCAACAUCUAUUCCAAUUACCAAUCCUUGACUGAACAAUACUAUGAUUUCAAAACGUUAACACAUAGAUCUGAACACAGUGUCUCUACAGAAGUCAGUGUUGGUAAACAAUAAUACAGCCACUAAGACCUGUGCGUAAUUUUGACACCAGCGGUCUUUGCUCGUGCCCAUGUCACGUUACAAGCACCAGUAAACAUCCACAGUGCACCACACAACAUCGACAUUUUUAUCAACAAAGUGAAUCAUAUGUUUUGAUCAAAGAUAAGUAAAAACGUUUGGCAGGAGGAACCGAAUCCAAGUUUAAUAAUAAGGAUGAAAGUAUGCGCAUAAUCAUGACACCAACUUUUUCAGGGGUCUAUUUAUUUCACAGCUCUUCCUAGACUUGUAGUUGCUCAUGGUGUUGGUAAAGACUGUUACCUUAGGGGAUUCCAUUUCAGGUCAAUUUUCAGUCUAUGGAUGCAACACUAAACUUCAAAGGCUCACUGUGAAUUUCGUCACGCGAAAAAUUUAAAAAAACAUUUUCUGUCUUUCUAGUCAUCAAGGCCAAGGUUGUUGGAGUGACAGUUGGCGGUGGCUUCAAACCCAUUAAGUAUGACAUCAAACUGAGCAAGCUGUUCAAGGGCCCAAGAAAGAAUUUUGAUUCCAUCUACACUGCGUCCAGCUCUGCCGCAUGUGGAAUCACUUUGACCAAUGGCGUCAAGUAUCUACUUAUGGGUAUGGAAAAAACCUGAAACUGUUUUCUCCCAUUGGAAAUGAUCUGGGUCCCGCAAAACCUUUAUGAAUGGCACCAUCACAAGGGAUGGAUUUAAGAUUGGAGUGGCCACUAACUUGUCAUCCACUUGAAUGAAUCAACGCUUUGUUCAUGGAUGCUGUUAAUAUAUGGAAAAGCGCUAACUGCUUUAACAAUAUUAGCAUCUAGCAGUCGUUCAAUGUGGUGUAAACCUGUUCGUUUAAAUCCCUGUGCUCACCCUAAGCCGCAGAUCGCACGCUGAAUCUCCUUCCCGUGCGGCGUCAGUGGCCCGACCGAGUGCUGGUGGCCCGACUUCCUGAUGGCUUUGCUGUACCGACAGUUCUUGUGCCCGGGAAAGGGGGUUUACCUCUCUCAAACAGGGUUUCAUGGACUCCAAAGGCCGUUGACUCCAAAUGAAAAAUAAAUGAAUAAAAUCAA